ACAAACCCUCAGCUGGCCUAUAAAAAUAACAAGCAAGGGGAUGGAAUCCAUUCCGAGCUACUAGCGGCAGCCAGCUGCCCAGGUUUUGGCUCCCUCCUCGCCAUGGAGAUAGAUAAGAGAGAGAGAGAUAGACGGUGGCUGUGCAUGGUGGAGAAGCAGGGCACGUGCAUUACCAUCCAAUGCCGCUCCAUGCUCCUCCUCUGGGCUGCUCACCAAACGUUUAAGGAUGGAUGCAUGGAUCCAUGGAUGGAUGGUUCUUCAUGUGCCCAUCUUCUCCACCGAGCAUAAACCGUCUCGGCAUGCCUCACCUCGCCGGGUGUGGUAAGCCUCAUCAGUCAUCACCGGAUCAGAGUGAGGUGCAGGCGGUUCCUCUCAUCAGCGGUUCUCACUUGGCAAGCUAGGAUCCAUGCUCAUAUCUUGGAUCUUCUUGUAUGUCUCUCUCAUCUCUGGUUUCCUCAUUAUUGCUUAAUCUCGGUGACCCUAUAGUGUUUCAGUGCCAUAUUUAUUUUAUCUUUACUCAAGAAUUCAUCAGUGUUUUCUCAAGGGAGGACCAAGCUGUACACUUCAGUCCGGACUACUCUUUUGGCUUUUUGCUUCAUCUUCAGCUGUGCUUGAAAUUAACUUUUGGAUUAUAUUGGAUUUGUUUGAUUUGAUUUUAUCCGCACCAACUCCCUGAGUACUGAAAUGUCAUGGCGUCAUUUUCGCAGCGAAACGCAGGCGAUCAGCGGAAUAUGCUGAUUUACAGCAGGGGGGAGAGGAGAAAAUAUUGUCGGCUGGAAUGACAUGAUUGUUCUCAAAUUUAAUCAUGCUCGGUCGAAGGACUGCUUGUGAUGGGCAUGGCGUUGUGCUCUCUCGUUCGUCUGUCUCAGAUAUCAGGAGCCCCAUCUCAUCGUCGAUCGACAUGGUGUCGGCAUCAACCAGCUGACGGGAAGGCGCACUUGGCAUAUAUCCUAUGCGUUUCUGCCGUACAAACAACAGUAGCUGUGAAAGGGUGCCGUUGCUAUCCUUCCCUCCAUGAAUAGUACAACAUUGCAGAAAAAGUUGAAGUGUUCAUCUUGAUAUCCUGAGUUGCUAUCGCUUUUAUCUAAGCUGAAAGGAGUGGUUUCCCGACACUGAACAUUGAUUUGGUUACAGUCUUCAUCUUCAGGGCUGGGUGCACGCGAAGCCGAUCGAGAUGCAAAGAUUUGAGCAGUUCACAGCACUCAUCAUAAUUAAUUUCCACAUUACAACAUGAGAGUCCAUACAUGAUGCGUGCACAUUUCAGUCGGGCCAGAUGAACUCCGGAAAUCUACUUCUCGAAGCUCUGCAUUCGGAAGCGCUUUUAUGCUCUCUGAAAUGAAAACUGCACAAAUCCUGAAGCCAAUGUGUUGUCAAAUUAUCCUCAAUGUGCUUUCAACUGCCAGUAGCCACACAUACUGUACCCCAUUGUUCUAUUUUGGGGCCACCUUGUAUAUUUGUAGUACAUGUGAUAAUCUUUUUCAAUAAAGCAUAAAGGCACUUGUCUGGGUAA